rnacentral:lncRNA from 1 species
CUAGAGCUUCUCUGGGCCCAGAUCCUGCAGGCUCUUGUUGAGCCACAAGGAGUUUAGGUCCCUCUUCACAGCACAGAGAGCCACCGGUGAGGCCUUUCAGCAAGGAGCCACUUGAUCAUGGUGCUUCCUGAAGUCUGCUAGAACCUCAGCGUGCCAGCCCUGGAGGUCAGAGAGGACACAGCAGGGACCAGAGAGGUGUCGGGGUGCCGGAAAACUCUGUUCACGCUGGAACAACACUGGUUUCUGUGCCACUGGGCGUAAGCAGAGCAGAGGUGAGAUCCUAUCUCCACACCUGAGAGCAGCCAUCCAGGAGAGGAACUAGCCAAGAACGGGAGGAAUGACCAUCUCAUAAGGGGAUGUCCAGGGUUCAGGCUCAGGAGACAAGGAAGGGGUCAGAUAUGCAGAUUGUCUCCAUUCUGCCGUUAGCACCUGCUUGCUGGCAUUUGAAUUUUUACAUUCUGUAAUCCUUCAUCCAGCUAUUAAAAUUGAUAAGUCCUUCAUACUGUACCAUACUUAAGGGGGUGGAGGAUGGGCCAUAAGCCACAGGUAGAACAUCUAGCACAGAAGCCAAAAGGGCUGGCAUGCUAUGGCCCAGAUUGGGCCUUGUCUUAGUCUUCUUUUCCCCUGCCUCACCUCCAUCCUUUUUUCAUGUUGCUUUAACAAAACACCUGAGACUGGGAAAGUUAUAAACCACAGAAGCUUAUUGGCUCAUAGCUCUGGUGGAGAGAGCUGCAAGGAGUUUGGAAAGAAGGUCUUGCCUGCUGCUGGCAACAAUCCAAGGUCCUCAUUUCUUCCCACUCCGGCACCAGCUUGCCAAGUUAGCCCCCAGGUCUCUUUCUCCUGCAAACACGGCCCUGGUCUAGACAGAAGAACUGUAUCAGCCAAUUACCAGCCCCUGGAAAAGAGCCUCAGCCCGACAUGUGGGGACGAAGCCAAGAGUCGUAGUCUGGCCCCUAGACAGAACAGCACAGCCACGCAUCCCUUCCACUCUCUCUUCCUAAGCCAAUUACUGCGGGCUGAGGAAUAGGGUCACAUGGCCACAGCAGGAUCAGCCCCACAUCAGAACUGCAGGAAGGCCACGAAACAGUGGUGUACUGCUAAAGGACAAGAAAGAAGGAGAAGAAAAGAGCCAUUACCAGAGGACCCUCCUGACACCUGAGCCUGACCUGGGGCUGUCAUCUCUGGUGGCUUGUGAGCCCUGUUCUGGUUGACAUUGCAGACUGAGAACUCCCCAAUCAAAGCAACUUUGGUUGUUGGGCUCCUGUGUUCUGGGUACUGCUGUGGAACUCGUUCAGUCUCAUGACAGCCCUUAAGGCUGGAGGCCUCCA